rnacentral:rRNA from 1 species
UACGAAGGGUGCAAGCGUUAAUCGGAAUUUCUGGGCGUAAAGCGCGCGUAGGUGGUUCAGUAAGUUGGAAGUGAAAUCCCCGGGCUCAACCUGGGAACUGCUUUCAAAACUGCUGAGCUAGAGUACGGUAGAGGGUGGUGGAAUUUCCUGUGUAGCGGUGAAAUGCGUAGAUAUAGGAAGGAACACCAGUGGCGAAGGCGACCACCUGGACUGAUACUGACACUGAGGUGCGAAAGCGUGGGGAGCAAACAGG